AGGACCAUGGCCCAGUGGUUAGAAUGUCUGCUUGACAUGCAGAACGUCUCGGGUUCAGUCCCCAAUGGCAUAUCCA